rnacentral:rRNA from 1 species
UACGAAGGGGGGCUAGCGUUGUUCGGAAUUACUGGGCGUAAAGCGCACGUAGGCGGAUCGGUCAGUUAGGGGUGAAAUCCCAGAGCUCAACUCUGGAACUGCCUUUAAUACUGCCGAUCUCGAGUCCGGAAGAGGUGAGUGGAAUUCCUAGUGUAGAGGUGAAAUUCGUAGAUAUUAGGAGGAACACCAAUGGCGAAGGCAGCACUCUGGGACGGUACUGACGCUGAGACGCGAAAGCGUGGGGAGCAAACAGG